GAAAUGCGAUAAAUAAUGUGAAUUGCAGACGUCCGUGAAUCAUUGAGUUUUUGAACGCACAUUGCGCCUAUUAGUACUCUAGUAGGCAUGCCUAUCCGAGCGUCGUGCUCUACUUCCAGCGGCAUCCUUGCGGUUGCCGCCGGGCGCUGGCGAUUGCUGGGAAGCCGAUCGCCGAAAUACAGUGGCUAGCGGGAAGGCAGCAUUCUACGUAGUAAAUCAAUCGUCUAAUCUGUCCUCCGGCUACGCCUGGCUCAAACAGUUGACCUCGGAUUAGGUAGGAAUACCCGCUGAACUUAA
rnacentral:misc_RNA from 1 species